rnacentral:rRNA from 1 species
UUGGUUAUGCUAGAAAGAGCGCAGGGUGGAUGCCUUGGCACUAAGAGCCGAUGAAAGACGUGAUAAGCUGCGAAAAGCUUCGGGGAGGAGCAAAUAUCCAUUGAUCCGGAGAUUUCUGAAUGGGGAA